CUCGUGAGUGGCAAGCGUUGUCCGGAAUUACUGGGCGUAAAGAGCACGUAGGCGGUUUGGUAAGCGGCGGGUGAAAUUCCAGGGCUCAACUUUGGAACUGCUCGCCGAACUGCCAGGCUAGAGUGCGGGAGAGGGCAGUGGAAUUCCUGGUGUAGCGGUGGAAUGCGUAUAUAUCAGGAGGAACACCUGUGGCGAAGGCUGCUGCCUGGAACGCGACUGACGCUGAGGUGCGAAAGCCAGGGGAG
rnacentral:rRNA from 1 species